UGAGUUAAGGAGUUCAAAAGAACUCAGUUUCAGGGCCAUAGAUAGCAAUAAUGAUGAUAUGGAUGGAACUACAACUCACAUACAAAUGGGUAAAAAGAGAAAGGAUUCACAUAAGCAUAUUACUGGCAGAAAUAUAAGGAAAGAAAGCAUAAAAGGCUAGGAAAUAAACACAUGAUGAAGGAAAACAUAGCAGACCAAGAGGGAAACACAUAGUGAAGAGGGCAUAAUUUAACUAGGACAUACCAGUUGCAAAAUAAUAUAACAUCAGAACAGCAGAGCAAGCAAACGGUAGAAAUCAGCAGGAGCAGACUCAAGUUUGCAGCAGAACACUUGAGAGUUCAAGAGAACUCAAGAAUAUUUCAGAAGGUAUAGGGAGGAAAGGAGAGUAGAAAACAGAGUGCCAAAUGCUAUAAGUACGAAAAGCAAUUUGAUUGUGAGAGAGUUUAGUGCAGAAGAGUUGUGCUUUCGAAUGCAUAAAAUAGUUGUGUAAGCAUGUGUGAAAGUAAUUGAAUUGGAAGUAUGCUCAAAGUGCAGAAAGACAGUCCCUAGUGCAGGGAAAAGGUAAAAGAAGGUAAGAAAAUAAUUUUGAAAGUCAAUCAUAAAGAUUUCCCUUCAGCCAAAGGGAUUGAUAUCAAAUGGGCAAGAAAAUUAAGGAAAGGGAAUAAUUUAAAAACCUUUUCCAUAGUAGCAUAAUAAGGGUAAAUACACUGGACAUUAUUUAAGGAAAUAGUUUACCAGCACAUGGCUUGGGCCAAAUAAGGAAAGACAAUCAAUUAACAAUGAGUAAGAUCAAGGCUUGAGUCUUAGAUCGAAUGAAUCCAAUCAAGAAAGGUGAAGAGAAACUUAAUUUAAAGGAAAUCAUCAACAAUCAAUCAAACCCUUUUUAAAAUGGACUCGGAAUCAAUCACAAGCUGGCCAAAUGCCUUUUGAAAGAGGACAAUUUGUCAUAUAAAAACAAACAUGCAUCGCAUAGAAAAGAUUCAGCGUCAUAACAAAAGGUCGAGUCCAAUUCAUAGACUCUAAAUGAGUUCAAGAGAUAACCCUAGGGUUCUGACAUAGAACCCUAGUCUGAACACCAGCUCAACUUGUCAAAGACCCUAAGCCCUAGGGUUUCUAACGGAGAGGAGGAGGUGAGCCAUUGAAAUGGACUCGGAGGUCCCUUUCAGAUACUUGUGCAAAAAUAAACAUAGAGAACAGUAGGAGACACAUACAAUAGAAAUCAUGUAGGAAAAUAUGGCAGAGACAACCAUGUGAGCUCAGUCUAAAGGCAGAGGAAAACAUAAAGGAUAGAAAAAGAACAAAAAAUCAAGUUCAUGUGUAGUAGAGAAGAAACACGCGAGAUAAACACAGAUGAAACACACACACAAAAUAAAAGAGAAGAAGAAUCAGAAAGUUUUCUAGAAACCCUAGUUUUGAAAAUCGAAUAAUUUCAAAAAGGGAAAUUUGGGGAAAACCCUUAAAAAACGAAUAUAGCACAAAUAUAGCAUAGAUCUAAGAGAAAACAAACAGAAAAACCUCGAAUAGCUUUAGGUUUCUCUGAAACCCUAGAAAUGAGAAGGCUUGGAAAGGGCCUGGUUUGGAGUCGAUCUGAGCCACAACAAGGCUCUUAAGGAUCGAAUACGUAGGAAGGGGGCCGGAGAGGUCAUAGAUCCUCAUAUCUGUGGAGGAUUUUCUCAAAAACCCUCGAGGUCAGACCUCGACAUCUCGAACAAACAUGGCUUAUGAGUGAAGGGGUGAGCAUAGGCUGUCCAUGGCCUGAGAAGCCAUGGACUCCGGUGAGAUUGGUCGGAGAAGACGAAGGAGUCGAUUAGGUUUUUUUCAGUGUUUGAGAGCGUUUGAGAGAGUGAAAGAGUUUGAGGGCGGUGGUCAAAGAGAAAAUGAG
rnacentral:lncRNA from 1 species